rnacentral:rRNA from 1 species
CAGUGGGGAAUAUUGCACAAUGGGCGCAAGCCUGAUGCAGCGACGCCGCGUGAGGGACGAAGGCCUUCGGGUUGUAAACCUCUUUCAGCAGGGAAGAAGCGAAAGUGACGGUACCUGCAGAAGAAGCGCCGGCUAACUACGUGCCAGCAGCCGCGGUAAUACGUAGGGCGCAAGCGUUGUCCGGAAUUAUUGGGCGUAAAGAGCUCGUAGGUGGUUUGUCGCGUCUGGUGUGAAAACUCAAGGCUCAACCUUGAGCUUGCAUUGGGUACGGGCAGACUAGAGUGCGGUAGGGGAGACUGGAAUUCCUGGUGUAGCGGUGGAAUGCGCAGAUAUCAGGAGGAACACCGAUGGCGAAGGCAGGUCUCUGGGCCGCAACUGACGCUGAGGAGCGAAAGCAUGGGGAGCGAACAGGAUUAGA